CAAUAGCGUAUAUUAAAGUUGUUGCGGUCAAAAAGCUCGUAGUUGGACUUCUGUUGAGAGAUACCGGUCCAUGCAACGCAUGCGUAUUUGGUAAGUCUCGGCAUCCUCUCGAAAAACUUCUUUGCGCUUGAUUGCGUGAAAAGAGUUUCGGGACUUUUACUUUGAGGAAAUUAGAGUGUUCACGGCAGGCCAUCGCCAGGAUACAUUAGCAUGGAAUAAUACUAUAGGAUCUUGAUCCUAUUUUGUUGGUUUCUAGGAUUAAGAUAAUGAUUAAUAGGGACAAUUGGGGGCAUUCGUAUCAACACGUCAGAGGUGAAAUUCUUGGAUUGUGUUGCGACGAACUACUGCGAAAGCAUUUGCCAAGGAUGUUUUCAUUGA
rnacentral:rRNA from 1 species